rnacentral:lncRNA from 1 species
UUGAAAACAGGCACAGUAUAAUAAUAUCAUCAUCGAAGCAAAUUCAUUUCUCCUAAAGGAAGUACUAGAAGGGGAGUGGGUAUAUACCUUGAUUAUUGCAGAUAUAGCAGUAGACAUAAAAUCAAACCUUAUAGGAAAGUAAUCUAAGAUUAAACAUAUAUCGAGAGAAGGCAAUCAUAGAAUAUUACAUAGCAAAUCUAGUAAUAGAUAAAGGUAAUUGCUGCUACUUGCAUU